AUUCCAUUGACCCAACAACCGCAUAAAUAAUAAAGGAAGCAAACGUAGCCGGUGAACGCGGUGACCGGAACUCGAAUUCAGGGGUCCGGUCCUCCGCCGCGAAGCCAUGAUCCUCGUCGACGGAGUUCCCGUCACCGCCUCCUCCUCUCAGCCUCAGGGAAGAGAAAUUCUUGACUCGUUACUACAAAGCCCUACCCUAAUCUCGGCUUUGGAUCGCCUGAAGUCAGCGCCGGCGAGAAAAGUUUCGGGAUCCGAACCCGUUAAGCUCGUGUACGUGUUUCAGAAAGAGUACGCGACCGUCGACCCCUCUCUUGUACAGUUUGUGGGCACAGAUGAGGCAACAACAUGUGUGGGUCUGGUGAUCAGAAAUCGGGAGACUGGAAUGACCUCCAUUAGCCAUAUGGAUUUUGAAGGAAUUGUUGAUAUGGGCCUAUCACAGAUGUUAUCUUCAAUUGUUAAUCAGGAAAUGGAUGCAACUUUAGAUGUUCAUCUGAUUGGUGGCUUUGAAGAUACAUCCUAUGAGAAUAUCAAUGGGAGUAGUGGAUCAGCAAGGCAUAAGAGGCAAGAUGGGUUUUCACUGCCUUUAUGCUCCAAAAUAGUUGCAGCUUUGCAAAAUAGGAAGGAGAGGUUUCAUCUGCAAACAUUCUGUGUACUUGGGCAUAACACCAAAAAAGAUUCAAAUGGAAAUCCAUUGCCCAUCAUCAGUGGCUUUUUGGUAGAUACUUUAUCUGGAUUAAUUGUGCCUGCCAGCUUUGAUAGAACAUCUAGAUGUCCAGAUGAAGUUGUCAGGAGGGUUCGAGUGACUGUAGCUUUUGAAGAUCCUGGAUGGAAAGGAAAGUUAUUGGAGACAUAUGAUACCCAUCAUGAUAGAUUUCAGAUUGCUCCUUGCUCAUGGACCUCUGACUGGAGUCAAUAUGCUUUCUCGUUACUGGAACUUCCAGAUUCUGAAAUCCUCUCGAGAUGUUCAACAUCACCAGCUGCAGAGUCUCCCGACUUCAUUGAAAAUGAAAGAAGUAAUAACCCACGCCUUUAUACUUUCAAGACUUUCAGUAAGAAUGUGGGACUAUUUGAUCAAGCACCCAGACUGGAGGCAAACUUUUAUAAGGAGGAAGCCGCGUAUUUUUGAGAGGACGGCUGGUGGAGAGUGGAAAAGACAUAGUUAGUUCAGUGCUCGGUCUUCAAACUACAUGAAGAAAUAAUGGGGAGUUUCAAAGAGAAGGGAGGAGACUUGAAGCAUGCGCUCAACGAAGGCUUCAGAACGCUGAAGCACGUGAUCAAGAACGGGUGGAAGAAGGCCAAGAGCUUGGGGGAGAGGAAAGGGAAUUAGGCACGUGAGGCGCUUGGAUGUUGCAGUAAUUUUUGAUGCGUUCUGUUCUGUUCUGUUAUUUCUAUGUACGCUUUGGAGUUCAACCAUGUAGCCAGUUUCUUUUCUUUCUUUUUUUUGUUUUGCAGUGCUCUUUCUAUAUAUGUAACUGUUUUCUGAUGUAGAGAUGUUAUGUAUUGUGUGAGAUUUCGAGUUUGAAGGCAUGGUUACGAUUGUCUUUA